rnacentral:rRNA from 1 species
GCCUACGGGAGGCAGCAGUGGGGAAUCUUCCGCAAUGGAAGCAAGUGUGAAGGAGCAACGCCGCGUGUACCAUGAAGGCCUUCGGGUUGUAAAAUACUGUAGUUGGGGAAGAAUAGAGACUGUUACAUAAUGCAGUAGAAGACGUAUCCAACGAGAGCCGUCCCC